UAAUGCAAUUCCUACAACAUUAAUGCACCAAAUCCCGUUAGAACUCCACAGUUAAGUAUUCUUGGGCUAGAGUAGUACUGGGAUGGUAGAACUACCAGGAAGUCCUAGUCUUAGACAUUCC
rnacentral:rRNA from 1 species